UGAGUAGGACAGGUGAUCGCGGCUGCUUUUAAGCAGGUGAGGAAAGUCCGGGCUUCAUAGGGCAGGAUGCCGGAUAACGUCCGGUGGAGGUGACUCCCAGGCCAGUGCAACAGAAAUAAACCGCCUUUUGCGGGAUUCCGCAAGAGGUAAGGGUGGAAAGGCAGUGUAAGAGACUACCGUGCUUGUGGUAACACAAGUAGCCAUGUAAACCCCAUCCGAAGCAAGACCAAGAAUGCCUUUUGGCAGGAAAACCAUAGAUUUGCCCGAUCUGUUUUCCGGUAGGUCGCUUGAGCUCGUCGGUAACGACGUUCCUAGAAAGAUGAUCAUCCACGACAUAACCCGGCUUAUCGUCUUACUCACAUU
rnacentral:RNase_P_RNA from 1 species